CAAUAGCGUAUAUUAAAGUUGUUGCGGUUAAAAAGCUCGUAGUUGGAUCUCGGCAGGCAGGGGGUGGUUCGCUCUUAGCGCUACUGCCCCAUUUGCCUGUGUGAUUGGCGGAGGUUUCGGGGUGCUCUUCGUUGAGUGACCCGGGGCGCCGUCAGGUUUACUUUGAAAAAAUUAGAGUGCUCAAAGCAGGCUUUUCACGCUUGAAUAUUCGUGCAUGGAAUAAUGGAAUAGGAACUCGUUUCUAUUUUGUUGGUUUUCGGAAAUCGAGUUAAUGAUUAAUAGGGACAAGUGGGGGCAUUAGUAUUCAGACGACAGAGGUGAAAUUCUUGGACCGUCUGAAGACUAACUACUGCGAAAGCAUUUGCCAAGAGUGUUUUCAUUAA
rnacentral:rRNA from 1 species